GAAAGUGAUGAUUAGAAAUUGUCGCCCCAGUCUUACUUGCAUCCAUUGCGAUGGAUGUAAUAUGGUGAUUGACUAUUUUUAUGUCUGAUUC
rfam:Eutrema salsugineum unplaced genomic scaffold scaffold_5, whole genome shotgun sequence.